CUUCACAAACCCAUCAAGGACUACGAUGAUAUGACCCUCUGCACCAUCGUCAGAAUCUUCACACUCUGGAACGGCCUGACUGCCCUUCUGAUAUGGUGCACAUCUUGCGUCUACAUAUUACUCCCCUAUUUUCCGGCACCGCUCGAUGUGGGUAAAGCCACCAACAGCACCAACCUACCGCCGGUGGUGGCCGCCACUCCUGACGAAGUCGACAGUGGAGUGG